GCAUUGCACUUUUUUUCCUUUCAGGAACGUGUUCGGGCCCGCGGCAGGGGGCGGGGUCGCGCCUCCGCCUCGGCUCUGGUUCCAGCCGAGCCUCACCGACGCCGAGAUGGAAAUCCCGAGGCUGCUCCCGGCUCGCGGGACACCGCAGGGCGCCGGUGGCGGCGGCUGCCCGGCGGGUGGCGGCGGGGUGCACCGAGCCCCGGCCUCUCUGGCUUGUCAGGCCCCCACGCGCCGCCUCCUACUGCUCCGGGGGGCCCAAGAUGGCGGGCCGGGGCCGCGGAGCGCAGAGGCCCAGAGGGCCUCCCGGGGCCUGGGCCCGAGCCUGAACCGGUUGGCGCCGAGGCCCGAUCACCGGAGCAGCGGCGGCGGCAGAGGCGGCGGCGCUGGCGGAGGAGGAGGAGGCAGCGGCGGCGGCGGUGGCGGCGGCGGCGGCGGCGGCGGCGGCGGCGGCGGCGGCGGCAGCAGAGGCGGCAGCGACGACUUCUUCCUGUUGCUGCUUGACCCGGUGGGUGGCGAUGUAGAAACCGUGGGCACGGAGCAGGCCGGAGCGCCCGUGCGGAGGGAGGAGGCCGGGGCAGGCCCGAGGCCCGAGCGGCGCCAGAGCGCCGGGCCCCCAGCGGGCCGUCCCGAGCCGGGUCCCCGCUGUCUGUCUGCGGUCCCGGCCGCGUCCCCGCUUCCCGCGGCCGGCCCGGGCCCAGCGGCGGCGGCGGCGGCGGCGGCGGCGGCGGCCUUCGCGGGCACCAUCACCAUCCACAACCAGGACUUGCUGCUGCGCUUCGAGAACGGCGUCCUCACCCUGACCACGCCCCCGCUGCCCGCCUGGGAGCCGGGGGUCGCGCCGUUCCCGCAGCCUCAGCCGCCGCCGCAGCCGGGGGCGCUGAUCGCCCCGCAGCCGCCGCCGCCGGGUUUCCGCCCGCCGCUGCCGCCGCCGCCGCCGCCGCCGCCGCCGGGGCGCAGCUGGGCGACUGCCCCGAGCUGCCGCCGGACCUCCUGCUGGCGGAGCCGGCGGAACCCGCGGCCUGCCCGGCGCCCCCGGAGGAGGAGGCCGAGGCCCCGGCCGCCGCCGCCGCGCAGAGCCCCCGCGGGCCCGCGGGCCCGGGCCCGGGCCCGGGCGUGGUGCUGUACCUGUGCCCGGAGGCGCAGUGCGGCCAGACCUUCGCCAAGAAGCACCAGCUGAAGGUGCACCUGCUGACGCACAGCAGCAGCCAGGGCCAGCGGCCCUUCAAGUGCCCGCUCAGCGGCUGCGGCUGGACCUUCACCACCUCCUACAAGCUCAAGCGGCACCUGCAGUCGCACGACAAGCUGCGGCCAUUCGGCUGCCCGGUGCAGGGCUGCGGCAAGAGCUUCACCACCGUCUACAACCUCAAGGCGCACAUGAAGGGGCACGAGCAGGAGAACUCCUUCAAAUGCGAGGUGUGCGAGGAGAGCUUCCCCACGCAGGCCAAGCUCAGCACCCACCAGCGCAGCCACUUCGAGCCCGAGAGGCCCUACCAGUGCGCGUUUUCGGGCUGCAAGAAGACCUUCAUCACGGUGAGCGCCCUGUUCUCGCACAACCGCGCCCAUUUCAGGGAACAGGAACUCUUCGCCUGCUCCUUCCCUGGCUGCAGCAAGCAGUACGACAAGGCCUGCAGGCUCAAGAUCCACCUGCGCAGCCACACCGGGGAGAGACCCUUCCUGUGUGACUUCGACGGCUGCGGCUGGAACUUCACCAGCAUGUCCAAGCUCUUAAGGCACAAGCGGAAGCACGAGGACGACCGCAGGUUCACCUGUCCCGUCGAGGGCUGCGGCAAGUCCUUCACCAGGGCCGAGCACCUGAAAGGCCACAGCAUAACCCACCUGGGCACCAAGCCCUUCGUGUGCCCCGUGGAGGGCUGCUGUGCCCGCUUCUCGGCUCGCAGCAGCCUCUACAUCCACUCCAAGAAGCACUUGCAGGACGUGGGUGCGUGGAAGAGCCGCUGCCCGGUCCCCACCUGUAACAAGCUCUUCACGUCCAAGCACAGCAUGAAGACCCACAUGACCAAAAGGCACAACCUCAGCCAGGACCUCCUGGCCCAGCUAGAAGCUGCCAACUCUCUCACGCCCAGCAGUGAGCUCACCAGCCCGGGGCAGAGCGAUCUCAGUGGGGCCGAGCUCGUGUCUCUGUUCUCGGAUGUGCCUGGCCACGGUUCCGCCGCGGUGCUGGACACGGCCUUGGUCAACUCUGGCAUCUUGACUAUUGAUGUGGCCUCUGUGAACUCGAGCCUCGCGGGAAGUCUCCCUGCGGAUAAUAACAGCAACAACCAUUCCUUGGGGCAAGCGGCCGAGCCUCGGGCCUUGAGGGGGGCCCCCAGUGACCUCCCCCAGAGUCUGGAUACCUCUCUCUUCUUCGGAACCUCGGUGGCUGGCUACCAGCACAGCCCCUUGGACAUGGACGAUGUCUCCGCCGGGAACGUGGGGCUCUUUGGCUCCUUGGCCCUGAAAAACUCAAGCCUGGAGCCGCAGGCUUUGACACCCAGCAAUAAGUUGACUGUGGACACGGAAGCUCUGACCCCCUCCAGCACCCUCUGUGAAAACAGUGUCUCCGAGCUACUGACCCCAGCCAAAGCCGAGUGGAACGUGCACCCCGAAUCUGACUUCUUUGGACACGAGGAAGAAACCCAGUUCGGAUUCUCCCACCCAACAGGAAGCCAUGGGUCUCAGAAAGACACAGAUCUUAUCACGGUGACUGGCACCCCGUUUUUGGUAUGAACCGACUCUGCCUGUUCCCUGCCUGCCCUGUGGCUCACUUUGUUGUUGUUGUUGAUGUUGUUGUUUUUAUCACACUCAAAUGUGAGAAUGUUCUGGAAGGAGCGCUUGCUUGCCUGCAGUUGUUUCUUGCUGCCUUGCAAAGGAACGCAUCUGUGGAUUACCAAUUUAGGGAUUUCAGUUCUCAUCUUGAGUCUGGGACUGAUAAGUUCUCUGACUGUGAGCAAGUCUCUUAACCGAGCUGAGCCUUAAUUCAUUAUUUAUAAAAGUAGUCUUUUUUUUGUCUAGCUUAUUUCUCUUUCCUUUUCAACUGCAUUUCAAUUUUUUUGUACACCUUUGGUGUAAUUUUUUAGAGUAUUUCAUAGUGGUUACAUAUGAGUCUCAUGUAAUGAACAGGAAUGUGAUCCCUUUGAACAUUAAAUGAUCAGAGAUAGAGGAACUCGUGUUUUAACUUUUACCAUUUAUCUUACCUUCUUUCACAGUAUCCAUUGUAUCAGUAGAGUGCAAAAAUGUUGUAUUUUAUGUGGUUGUUUGAUGUUUUCUCAGUCUUCUUAUGUUGUCUUUCUGUAGAAGGGUUUUUUUUAAAAGAAAAAUAUCAGGGAUUUGAUAUAUUACAAGCAUAUUCUAAAAUAUUGCCUCGUUACCAUUGAACAAGUGGCCUUAUACUAGUCAUUUAGUCUUGCCAAGCCUUACUCCGCUAGCUUUACAGUGCUGAUAGAAAUGCACAUUAUUCUCAUGCAUAUUGUAUCUAUUGAUGCUUGAGAUUGUUACUGAAGGGAAAAUAUAUGCUUGGGCUUUUCUGAAUCUUCUUUAGUUGUUUCUUUCUUUCUUUAUUUCUUUCUUUUUUUCUUUCUUUCUUUCUUUCUUUCUUUCUUUCUUUCUUUCUUUCUUCUCUGCCUCCUUUUUUCCCCUCUUCAAAUCCUAGAGUACACAAGAUAGGAAACACAUGUAUCAUAGUUUUCAGCCAAUAAUAUAAGUAUUAUGCAUAGAUGGGAAUUUAUUCCUUCCACAAUUUCUUGAGGAAUUUUUCUUUACAGAGUUCUCAUUUAACACUGUUCACUGUUUUAUUCGUCCACUUAACUGGUGUCUGCUCUGGAUCAAAGCCAGCUCUUGGCCUGACUCUACUAUUCUGAUAGAAUUUGGAAAUGGACCAGAAGGUAAUAUUUCUUUUUCCUGGUGACCUCAUUUGUAGCCCUCUCUGGAAUGAGAGGUUUGCUAUGUAUUUUGAAAUAGAAAUACUGUCAAUCUUAGCAUGAGUGUAGCAUUUUAUGGUUUAUAUAGAAAAUUCAUAUCUAAUAUAUUUGAUCAUCAUAAUCUUGAUGAGAAAUUGUAAACUUAAACUGAUACUAAAACUUUCCUGAUGUAAAUUGAUUUCAUUUGGUAAAUAUUAAUUAUUUCUAUAUGUGUAGUUCACAUCAAAGAGGAAAUAUUUCUACCUCUCCCAUUCUGCUCUUCUGAAUUCCACAAUCACUUUGUUAAUGAGCAAUCCUUUUGUUGUGCCUAUGGAUAUCCUUGUUCCCUUCUGCUUUUUCUGCUCCCCCCCCCUAUUCCUGUAGUUCCUGAUAUAUGCACACCAGUGUGUGCUAUGCCUCUACUUUUUUUCUCUAAUUUUUCACUUCUUUUUGGUCACUCUUUUCUCUCACAUGAUCUAUUUUUUUAGUCACAAUAAUUAUUACAGUCUGUAUGCACCACGAUGGUAUUUUCUGGAUUCAGCUUACAAGUGUGUUUACAGGAGGCAGAUGUUAAUGGAAACACUUUAUCCUAUAAGAUCUGAUGACAAGUACCUCUUUCAAUUUGUUUGCCGUGUUUUCUACUAGAAAAGAGUUAUUUUGAAAUACUCAAAUUCAAUACUGUUUUUUGUGAGGACACUUGAAGAAAACACUUUUUUAUAGUACUUUGGCAAUAUAUAAUUUGCCACUUUGAAAUACAUUAUAUACUACUACCUUUAUAAUUUUUAUAUUGUUUGAACCCAUUUAGUAAAAAGGUAAUAAAAGUACACAUUAACUUUUAAUUUAAAGAAGUAUUCAGAAUUUUAGUGUGUCCAAGCAUCAAGAUUAUUAUUGACUUAGCACUUUGAAAAGAUUUUAAAGACUAUGUUAGAAAUGCAUUUUCAUGAGUUAAACAUUUCUCAUUUUAUUCUUCAAGGAAUGCAAAGACCUGAGGUAAACACAGACUUUAUAAGCAUUAUUAAGAUAUAUAACCGUAAAGGUAUUUUAAACCGUCACUUUGUUUCUUUUAAAUUUCUUCCAACUAAAGACUAUACUAAAAUAUUCUUAUCUAUAGACUGUAGAAUUUCCAAAGGAUAAAAUUUAAUUUCUUGAUGAUAAAAAAUCAUGUUGUUGUCUUUCUGAUUUCUCUCCAUACCAUUGCCCUAGCAUGAAUGACUGUAAUUACAGUGACUACACGUGACAACACAUAUAAUGAUCAUACUUCUGGUAAUAUAAAUUUGACAUUUUUGAAAUGAUGUCUUGAUUUCAUUUUAUCUCCUUUGCCUUUUGUGUUUCUGUAGUCUUUCUUGAUCUAUUAAGAUUUUCUAAUUGUAUUAAUAACAAAAUGCGUUAUAUGAAGAUUGUUUUCAAAGGGCCUUGUUUAGCCUUUUGAUCAUGUAAAAUAUGUUAAGCUUGCUAUAACUUGAUAUUUCAGUUACUUAAUAUUGUACUGUUAAAUAACUGAAAGUCUUGAGUAUUAUAAAUAAAACUUGAUGGAUUUUCAGGUCAUCUGUCAGGAAAUUUUCCAUCAUGGAAAAGAAAAGGAUUAUAGUGUAACAGGAUAUUUAGAAUAUUAGCUCUCUGGAGUUAUUCAUAAUCCAUUAGUAUUAAACCUAUUUAAUAAUGCAAAAAAUAACUUAUGGACCUUACCCAAAAUAUGUCAUAAUUGAAAUGUAAGACUGGACUACAUUGUAUGUGUCUAUUGCUUUUGAACACUGCAGCUUCUUUUCCUUGACAUUUUUUAAGGGAGAAAGGGUUUAUGUAUUCUCACAGUUCUGUAGCACUGUCUAUAACACUGGAGAGAUUACAGCAGCAGGGACCUCACGGAUGUGAUCACAUUAGAUACGUAGUCAAGACUAGAGAGACUAACAAAUGGAUGUGUGCUCAUCUUAAGCUUUCGCUCUCCACCCCAGCCACAACUAAGAUGGGACUCCUACGACAAUUAACAGCAUCAAAAUAAUCCCCUAUGGACCCUAGCCAUCGUUCUGGUGAUGUUAGAUUUUGUUCAGUUGAGAAUGAAUACUAAUCAUUACAGUAUGCAUUCUACAAAGUUCAGGGAUGAAAGAUCUCUUAUAACUGUGCUGCUUUAUGAUGUACAAAGUUCUCAUAAAUAGUUUGUGUUAUCAUCUUCAUUUUACAUUUGAGAAAUAUGAAAUGCUAGGAAGUUUAUGUGAUUUUCCUAAAAUCAUAAUUUUACAAGUGGUUGGGUUUGGUGUAGUUGAAAAAUCCUUCCAGAAUCCUGAUGAUACUUUAAGCAUAAUACACUAUUAUAAUGUUAUGAGAGGCAGAGACCUAGACAUGUCAGUCUCACCAAAUCUGAAUUUGUGUACUAGAAUAGACUAUUUCCUUGAUUAUUAAUCACCCCUGAAAUUGUUCUAGAAAUUCUUGCAACAAUGGCUAUAAAUGGUCUAUAAGAAGAGUAUUUCAAAACCUUCCAGAUCUGUUCAGUGGUCCAGAAAGAGGUUUUAAGAAUACAUAUCCCCCAGUCGGGUGUGGUCGCGCACGCCUUUAAUCUCAGCACUUGGGGGGCAGAAGCAGGCAGAUUUCUGAGUUUGAGGCCAGCCUGGUCUACAAAGUGAGUUCCAGGACAGCCAGGGAUAUACAGAGAAACCCUGUCUCGAAAAACCAAAAAAAAAAAAAAAAAAAAAAAAAAAAGAAAGAAAGAAAGAAUACAUAUCCCAGCCCCAAUGAGCAUAAAAUAUUCUUAUUUAUGUUGGAAACUAAAAAUAAGACUGAUAUAUUUAUACCUUCAAUUGCUCCUGAGGUAGUUGGAAUUAUCCACUAGAAAUAUCUUCUAGAGUAAACAAAAAGGUAAUUAUUUUUCUCAAGUCACCAUCAUUUUUCAAUAUAAAUUUUGUAUUAUAUUAAAUAUAUAAUUUUAAAUUGUUAUUUUUUGAGAUUAUAAAUACAUUAUUUUCCCCUUCCCUUUCAUUCCUUCAAACCCUCUCAUUUGGCCCUCCUUGCUCUCUUUCAAACUCAUGACUUCCCUUUUCAUGAAUUGUUGUUCCAUACAUAUAUGUAUUAGUAAAUACUUAAACACAAUCGGCCCAGUCUAUGUAGUGUUGCUUGUAUA